rnacentral:rRNA from 1 species
UACGUAGGUGGCGAGCGUUGUCCGGAUUUACUGGGCGUAAAGAGCGCGCAGGCGGUCGUUCAAGUCGAGUGUGAAAGCCCCCGGCUCAACUGGGGAGGGUCACUUGAUACUGAUCGACUCGAAGGCAGGAGAGGGAAGCGGAAUUCCCGGUGUAGUGGUGAAAUGCGUAGAUAUCGGGAGGAACACCAGUGGCGAAGGCGGCUUCCUGGCCUGUUCUUGACGCUGAGGCGCGAAAGCUAGGGGAGCAAACGGG